CUCACGGAGUGUGUUAAAUACUUCGCGAUCUCAGGCAGCAUUUGGGAGCCUCGGGAGCCACGCAGAGCGUGGUGACUGCAGUCCAGUGGGGGCCCUGGAAACCCACAGGGAUGGCCACAGCACAUGCUUUGUCCCUUUAGAGGGUUGCUGCACAUAGCUGGCCAGAUUAUACUUGCAAAUGUUCUCAGGCAUGUCGGCAGGAAGGGGACAUUGAGAGUACCAACAGUGUGGCCUUUGUUCUAAUGAUGCUGCAGGGAGGGGCCCGGGGCAAGUGGCAGAUUUUCGAAGCGUGGUUCAUGCCAAGAGACGUCUGCUACAUCUCCUGGGAAGAGGACUCCGUUCUGGGCUGCCUGGUGGCUUUCCUCUUCCUGUUCGGUCAUACAGUUCAAUUCCACAUCAAAGGGAUUAGUUUCGUUUGGCCCUUGUUGCACAGCCUGGCUUCCUGGAGGAGGUGUCCCUCUUAUUUCUUCACUGACCUACAUUUCUCACCGUGAUGCAGUUAACAUGGGCCAUCAGGCUUCAGUGCAGACCCUAGAGUUCCUAUUCAUGGUCACCAAGGCCUGGGGUGAGGGACGACGUACUCUAACCUCUGAAUCUACUCCACUGUGGGAAGAUCCUAUCAGUCAGUACAAAAGUGAUUUACACGAAGUGUUUCACACAGAAUGCAUCUGGUGCACGCUGGCAUCUGGUGCACGCUGGCUUCUGGUGCACGCUGGCUUCUGGUGCACGCUGGCUUGUGCUACUUCCAAUCACUUCUCGUUCCACUGACUGCCCAUUUGGUCUCUCCUGUGUUCUGAGCACCCACAGCUUGAGAGCGGUUCCUGUCUUCCUCCUGGGAGAAUCCAGUUCCUGAGAAGCCUCGGGCAGCUUCACCCAUGACUUUCAGGACUACCAAUCUGGAGGGUUUCAAUGAGGGCAAAUCCAGAAAAAAGGCCUGAAUCUGUAACUGUGGCUGCGAGUACUUAAGAUGGACUUGUCCUGUGGCCACGUGGGGCCAGGAGACAUCCUGAGCCUCAAUCUGGGCUGAGGAUGAACCAGACCAGUGGAGAAAGAAGAAGUGGAAGGCUAUCAGGAACUCUUCCAACCCUCGAAAGCUCAGGUUACAGUCAUCCCGAUGAUGAGCCUCCUGGAUGCAUGUACUGCAGAACCCAACCCCUGAAUUCUAAACAAAUUAGUUCAGUUCAUGCAACUUAUGGUGAUGAAAAGUCACCUCCAGUCCCUCCAUAACAAGGCCCGUGAGCCUUCCUGUAAGGAAGUCCCAUGACUGGGCCUUCUAGUUACCAGAGAAAGGGGGUAAUGAGAGACUAAAUUUUUUGAGUUCAGACUCUAUCUUAGAAAACCUGACCUAAGUUUAAACUCAAGUAAACUAACAGGGUUGUACCUAGCAUCAAUUUCCAAGUUAUCCCCCAACAAAACCUGAGCCUAGCUCCAGUUUUUAGGCUACCCACAACAAGACCUGCAUCUCCAGGUUAUUCUCUGCCAAUAAACCCAGCAUUUAGCACCAGUUUCUAGAUUAAUUCCCAACAAAUCUGCACCUCCAGGUUAUAAGCCCACCCCCUGCCAAUUAGGAGGAAAGCAGAAGUUAAGUUUAUGGUUUGGCUCCCAACACAAACCAAUUUGCUAAACCAUAGUAGCACCCCAAUUAGAUGCUUGCCAGGCUAGAAACACUCACCCCUUGCUUGCCACUUUCUAUAAAACCUUGUCUCGAUGAACAUUCGGGGCUUUUCUUCAGAGAAAAACAUUCAUUAAGCCCAAACUAGCUCGAAUAAAGACCCUGGUGUGAAUGCA